CCUACGGGAGGCAGCAGUGAGGAAUAUUGGUCAAUGGGCGCGAGCCUGAACCAGCCAAGUAGCGUGAAGGAUGACUGCCCUACGGGUUGUAAACUUCUUUUAUAAAGGAAUAAAGUGAGGCACGUGUGCCUUUUUGUAUGUACUUUAUGAAUAAGGAUCGGCUAACUCCGUGCCAGCAGCCGCGGUAAUACGGAGGAUCCGAGCGUUAUCCGGAUUUAUUGGGUUUAAAGGGAGCGUAGAUGGGUUGUUAAGUCAGUUGUGAAAGUUUGCGGCUCAACCGUAAAAUUGCAAUUGAUACUGGCAUGCGUGAGAACAGUGGAGGAAGGCGGAAUGCGUGGUGUAGCGGGGAAAUGCUAAGAAAGCACGAAGAACCCCGAUUGAGAAGGCAGCUUACUAAACUGCCA
rnacentral:rRNA from 1 species